AUUGAACGCUGGCGGCAUGCCUUACACAUGCGAGUCGAACGGUAACGGGUCCUUCGGGAUGCCGACGAGUGGCGAACGGGUGAGUAAUGCAUCGGAACGUGCCCAGUCGUGGGGGAUAACGCAGCGAAAGCUGCGCUAAUACCGCAUACGAUCUAUGGAUGAAAGCGGGGGACCGAAAGGCCUCGCGCGAUUGGAGCGGCCGAUGUCAGAUUAGGUAGGUGGUGGGGUAAAGGCUCACCAAGCCAACGAUCUGUAGCUGGUCUGAGAGGACGACCAGACACACGGGGACUGAGACACGGCCCAGACUCCUACGGGAGGCAGCAGUGGGGAAUUUUGGACAAUGGGCGCAAGCCUGAUCCAGCAAUGCCGCGUGCAGGAAGAAGGCCUUCGGGUUGUAAACUGCUUUUGUACGGAACGAAACGGUCCGGGUUAAUACCCUGGGCUAAUGACGGUACCGUAAGAAUAAGCACCGGCUAACUACGUGCCAGCAGCCGCCGUAACAC
rnacentral:rRNA from 1 species